CACGUAGGGUGCGAGCGUUGUCCGGAAUUAUUGGGCGUAAAGAGCUCGUAGGCGGUGUGUCGCGUCGGCCGUGAAAACCUGCAGCUUAACUGUGGGCUUGCGGUCGAUACGGGCAUCACUGGAGUUCGGCAGGGGAGACUGGAAUUCCUGGUGUAGCGGUGAAAUGCGCAGAUAUCAGGAGGAACAACGGUGGCGAAGGCGGGUCUCUGGGCCGAUACUGACGCUGAGGAGCGAAAGCGUGGGGAGCGAACAGG
rnacentral:rRNA from 1 species